rnacentral:misc_RNA from 1 species
AUACCAUCACAAUUGAGCAGUUUAGAGAGCUUGGAGACGCUGAAUAUCUCCCACAAUAAUCUCUCUGGUUCUAUUCCAAUUACUUUCGAAGAGAUGCAUGGUUUAUCGUCCAUCGAUAUAUCUUACAACGAAUUGGAAGGUUCCAUUCCUUCCAACCGAGCAUUUCAAAAUGCUUCCAUAGAAGCAUUUCAGGGGAACAAAGGAUUGUGUGGGGAU